UACGGAGGAUGCGAGCGUUAUCCGGAUUUAUUGGGUUUAAAGGGUGCGUAGGCGGUCCGUUAAGUCAGCGGUAAAAUUGCGGGGCUCAACCCCGCCCAGCCGUCGGAACUGCCGGGCUAGAGUGGGCGAGAAGUGCGCGGAAUGCGUGGUGUAGCGGUGAAAUGCAUAGAUAUCACGCAGAACUCCGAUUGCGAAGGCAGCGCACCGGCGCCCUACUGACGCUCAGGCACGAAAGCGUGGGUAUCGAACAGG
rnacentral:rRNA from 1 species